GCUAAUCAAACUCGGUGAUAGCUGGUUCUCCCCGAAAGCUAUUUAGGUAGCGCCUCGGACGAAUACCAUUGGGGGUAGAGCACUGUUUCGGCUAGGGGGUCAUCCCGACUUACCAAACCGAUGCAAACUCCGAAUACCAAUGAGUACUAUCCGGGAGACAGACUGCGGGUGCUAACGUCCGUAGUCAAGAGGAAAACAAUCCAGACCGCCAGCUAAGGCCCCAAAUUCAUGGCUAAGUGGUGAACGAUGUGGGAAGGCAUAGACAGCCAGGAGGUUGGCUUAGAAGCAG
rnacentral:rRNA from 1 species